rnacentral:lncRNA from 1 species
UUCAUUUCAAAUUCAUCUUCAAUUCGAUUCCUGGCCAGGACAUGUAUUCAAAUGGCAUUUUACAUUUUUCUCUUUUCCCUCCAUCCUUUUCCAUAUGCUUGUUUCACUUUUUUUUAUUUUUUUUCUCACUUUCAAAAUUCAUAUUAAAUUGAUAAAUGAUCCAAAGAAUAUGGGAAUUUUUGCAUUAUCUUCCUUAUUAUGUCUAGUUUUUUUUUGUUAAUUUUCCCUAAAUUGUGCAUGGCUGAAAAAUAUUUUACC